UGGCGAACGGGUGAGUAACACGUGGGUGAUCUGCCCUGCACUUCGGGAUAAGCUUGGGAAACUGGGUCUAAUACAGGAUAGGAGCCAUCUUUAGUGUGGUGGUUGGAAAGUUUUUUCGGUGUAGGAUGAGCUCGCGGCCUAUCAGCUUGUUGGUGGGGUAAUGGCCUACCAAGGCGGCGACGGGUAGCCGGCCUGAGAGGGUGUACGGCCACAUUGGGACUGAGAUACGGCCCAG
rnacentral:rRNA from 1 species